rnacentral:rRNA from 1 species
UACGGAGGGUGCAAGCGUUAAUCGGAAUUACUGGGCGUAAAGCGUGCGCAGGCGGUUUGUUAAGUCUGUUGUGAAAUCCCCGAGCUCAACUUGGGAAUUGCAAUGGAUACUGGCAGGCUGGAGUAUGGUAGAGGAAGGUGGAAUUCCCGGUGUAGCAGUGAAAUGCGUAGAGAUCGGGAGGAACACCAGUGGCGAAGGCGGCCUUCUGGACCAAUACUGACGCUCAUGCACGAAAGCAUGGGGAGCAAACAGG